UGGGGAAUCUUGCACAAUGGGGGCAACCCUGAUGCAGCGACGCCGCGUGAGCGAUGAAGCCCUUCGGGGCGUAAAGCUCUUUCGACCGGAACGAUAAUGACGGUACCGGGAGAAGAAGCUGCGGCUAACUACGUGCCAGCAGCCGCGGUAAUACGUAGGCAGCAAGCGUUGUUCGGAGUUACUGGGCGUAAAGAGUGCGUAGGCGGUUUUCUAAGUUCGGUGUGAAAUCUCCCGGCUUAACUGGGAGGGUGCGCCGAAGACUGGGAAGCUGGAGUGUGGGAAAGGCAGGCGGAAUUCCUGGUGUAGCGGUGAGAUGCGUAGAUAUCAGGAGGAACACCGGCGGUGUAGACGGCUUGCUAGACCAUAACUGACGCUGAGGCACGAAAGCGUGGGUAGCAAACA
rnacentral:rRNA from 1 species